rnacentral:misc_RNA from 1 species
UGAAAAUGAGGAAGAGGAAGAGUUUGAUGCAAGAAAUUGGUAGUGAAAAACGAAGGCAAAUAAUUAAUAUUGGUGGCACUAAUACUAGUGCUUCAAAAAACCAAAAGUUCUACCACCACAAAGUAGUAGAGGGCUUAUUGACAGUUAUUUUUCCCCUAAACUGGCUGUUAUAGGAAAAAAUACGAGGCAAACUACUAUUAAUGAAAAUCGUCUAGCUAAGAAGGAGUUAAGGGAGCGAGCUUGUGUUGCUAUAGCACGAUGGAUGUAUGAUGUGAAAGGACGGUUUUGAGUCCUACCUUCUCGAAUCAUGUUGUUUAUGCUCUUAAUGUGAUGCCCCUUACCUGUAUACUGUAUAGCCGAGCGAGGAGUGCCACAUUUGAUAUCGGAGCACCCUAUCUUAUCCUGUCAUGUCCAUUGUUAAUUUUAAACUUUAUAGAAAAUAUGUAGAAUUUUUUUUUAUCACAAUUUAAUUCUGUGGAAAUCCGGGCAGAGCCUCCUCUGUUUUAUUAGCGUCUGGCGGGUUUCACUAGUUACCUGUUAAAAACAAUUUCAUAUCUGUCUUAUAUAUCCAUAAUCAUACCAUAUCACAUCAUUUCAAGAAAUGAAACUCAUUCAUUCAUUCAGAUGGAAAUCUACAUGCAGAAAUUCAUAACUUUAUUUACAACCCAAAAUAUAUUUACAAUUUUUUAUUUACAUCACAAACUAGUAAUUACAUCAUGAUUAUACACCAUGAACCAAAAUAAUGGUCUAUACAUGAGCCCUACCAAAAUAUAAAAGACUAAUGAGGUGAACUCUGGACUGUGUGCAGAUCUGGUCAACUGCGGUCAGAACACUACUGUGGCGGCUGCUGAUCUCCAGUACCUACGCGAUUGAAAAUCCAACGCGUUAAGCAAUUUGCUUAGUGGUGCAUAAUCUUAAAGCAGAAUAACUAAAUGAUUUAAAAUGACAAUAAAAUGUGUAAUUUCAUAAUUCUAAGUCAAUGGCAUAUUUUAUAAUACUUUGGAAUCAAUAUAUUUUUAAGGAUCUUAUCUAUGCAUAUAUUUAAUUUUCAGUCUCUUUAACUCAUAUCAGUAAAUUUG